UAAAAGAUACGUCAGCAUAAUCUGCAGGUUAGAGGAUAUUGGAAUUUGUGAUGUUGCUAACACGAAUAUACCUUCAAAUGGGCCAUGACGACAUGCUAUCAGAUUCACUAAGAAUGAAUCUUCUGUUUGAAUAUGUAUGAUCGGGAGCAUUAAAUAGAUCAGUAAUAAGCGAGAAACAACAAUAUAAACUACUGUUCCCUCUCUCAAGGAUAUGUUAACUUUUAAUUCCAAUGAAUACAUUGGUGUCGGUGAAAAAAUUGCUGAGUCUGGUGAUGGAGAACUUCCCAAAUGGAGCAUGCGCACUCUGCAGGAUUCAAGAUUCCCCGUUGAUGUAAUUUUGCCAGAUGCUCGUCACCCAUUCCUAUGGCUGGUGAUGGAGCUUAGUGACUUUCAACCAAGCAACGUGGAUGAAUCUACUGUCUCCUUUUCUGUUCAGUCCGCUAUGUAUGAUGGUUCCUUGAGCUGAAGUCCUGGGCAGAAGAAAUUGCCAUUCCAAGAGAUGGAUGGUGUCACAUUCUGAAUUGUGGAAAUGCCAAGGAUGUUUACUCACAUUCUACUCCCCAGCUGUGCACCAGUCACGAGGGGUCCCAACACUAAAAAUUGACUGCAGACACAGUGAAUACAUGACGACGAACUGGGGGCCUCUAGGAUUCCUGGAUGCAAGUUUGUACAGAAUUAUGGUUGGGGAGAGCACAGUGGGAAGUACGGACAGCUACGCAUUGGAGAGGAUAUGUGCAGAGGCGCAAUGAAAAAUGGCACGUUUCGAG